rnacentral:tRNA from 2 species
GGGCUCGUAGCUCAGUGGUAGAGCGGUCGGCUCAUAACCGAUUGGUCUCAGGUUCGAACCCUGACGAGCCCACCA